AAGAUAGCACUUGUCCUCCUGUGCUAGAGUUCUCAAAGAAGAUCUGCUAGUCUUGGUUCACUGGUUGGGGCAGUCAGUGCCCCUAUUGAAGCCCUGAUCAGAAACAUGU
rnacentral:snoRNA from 1 species